rnacentral:tRNA from 1 species
GAGGUGUUAGUAAAACAAUUACAUAGCCCCGUCAAAGCUAAGCUAUAGGUGAAACCCCUGUACACCUCU